UUUUUUGGGAAUUACUGGGAUCGAUAUUUGAGUUUGGAUUCAUGUUUACAACUAAGUUAAGCUCAUGUGAGUUCUUAAAUGGAACUCUGCUUCCAGGUUUACAUAAUAGAACAAGUAGUGCUUGAAUGUAGCUACAGUGCAGCCACAGAAAAUAAAAGUUUAACCUGUUCCUCAAUUCUAGUAUUCAAACUGUAUUCUGUCUGAAACUCUCAUCUUGGUUGGAUGACAUCUUGCAAAAGCUUUUAUGCUUUGAUAAAUUUGGUUCAGGGAAACCAGAUACUGAUUAGGGAGAUUUGCUUGACAGCAUUGAUAACUUUUGGUGAUAGUUUAUGAUUUGCAUGAUGAAUGACUGAUAUGGUUGAGUGUAACCCGUAGCAUACAUUGAACAUUUUGACACUCAUAUUCAUGAACUGGAAUUUAACAAGCUGUGAAUUUUCAGUUGGCAUACCAGAUCCCCUGCCCCACUUUAUGUUCUUUCUUUGCCUGCUAUUGCUGCCAUCCCAAGUUGUAUAUUCACUUUCUUGAUUGUGGCGAUCUAUCAAAGAGAAUUU
rnacentral:lncRNA from 1 species